GUGUGUGUGUGUGUGUGUGUGUGUGUGUGUGUGUGUGUGUGUGUGUGUGUGUGUGUGUGCGUGUGUGUGUGUGUGUGUGUGUUCAUCAACACCAGGCGAGCGUCUUUGUGGAUCGGGCGGCCAAAAUUAAUUAUUUAAACGUCUCGAUUCAAAGCGAUGGUCCAACAUUGAAGGCUCGAUCUCACUCUUUUCAUCAAUGGAACAUCCGUGGUCGUUCACGAUCAUCAAUAGCGCGGCCACAACUCGUUUUUCGGUUUGUCACUCGUCGUCUUUUCUGUACACCUGUAUUUUUCUUUCGGGCAUUUUUCUUUCUUUUGCCAUGAGACAGUAUAAGUACUGAAAAAAUAAUUUUGCUUCGGGAGAGCUCACUGGCUGGGGAAUUGUGUCGCAAGUCACGUAGCUGAUUCUCAGCGAUGGACAGUAUAGAGACGAAGACUCGGAUAACACCGACAACGUCAUUCACAGGCGGAACGGUGAGUGUACAUCUUUCUUUAACUGCAAGUGAAAGAACAGGUUGCAACUAUUUUAAUCCGUCUAAGUUCACCAUAUCCACUUCCCAUGGCAGUGCUUUAUUGCAAAUUCGUUUCAGCUUUCAACUAUUUUUGGUUCUUUACCAAACCUUUGAAACACAAAUAAUAGUACCGCUGUCACGCGAGGCCUUUCAACGACGAUGGAGCCCCAUUGCUCUCGAAUUUUUCUAAUCCCGAUUGGCUCCUUUGUGCAAGCUGCGGAAUGGAGACAAUCGCAAACGAGGAAUUCGAUCCGGAUCAGGAUCUAUCGCGAUCGAAAACGCACGGUGGGACUCUGAUAAAAAACAGCAAAUAUGCGACUCAAUAUAACCGCCAUGAAACUAUAACUGCAAUUUUGCUCAUUCUUCGCCAAGUUUCUCAGCGGCAAAUAAAAACAGCAAAUAUGCGGCUAAAUGUGAUAUGCGAUAGCGCCCCCUGUCACACUUCUUCGAGAAUGUCUGCGUAAGCGAGUCGCUCCAGUUAGAAUAGGUACUUCUCACAUCUCUCCAUAACUACCGAUCACUCUCGCCCACAGCAUUGGCCAACGCGCGUACCUUCACUCGCGCCAGACUUUCGUUUCGCCGCGAUUCGUUGGUUUCGCGCCAAGGGGCAUUAGAAAAGGAACAAUGCCAUUAGCGCUUUUUGCAGUUGUCAUGUUGUCAUGUUGAUUGUGCUGUAGUGCCCUGUCCGUGUUGCUUCUGCGUGCGAUUUGGCAUCACCACGUUGACACAUCGUAAUACUUAUCAGCUGAUGGUCAACUUAGCUCGCCGUAGAUCUGCAGUUCAAGCAGCUUCAACGAUUCUUGCGUCGUGUGACGUGCUACUUUCUCCCAGGUCGGCGCUUGUUCCUGACGUCUUAACUUGAUUUUCACUGUACAUAAGAACGCGCAUCGCAUCUUUUCCUCCAGUAACCUGUGCGACGCUUCAGCACCAUCAUCAGUGAUGCAAGAUAAACACUUGCCGCCUCUGUACAAAAACUUUUACAACCUUCAAGUCCUACUUUGAACAUUUCGCCUUCCACAGUAGCUUGGUGGACGGUGCCUUAUGCCACGUCAAGGAGUGCCAUGCUGUUUUGAAAACCUACGGGAGCUUCAGGCAACAUAUCUCAAGGCAUCACAGGAACCAAAUCAGCGAGCGCCAGCGACACUCCAAUACUUAUCAGUGUACUGUGUCGCAAUGUGGGAGACUACAGACCACUCGCACAGACUUUAUUUCGCACAUUGCUGACCACUUUAACAGUGGUUUGAAUUGCCUUUCUUGUCCGUUUGAAGGUUGUACAAGUGUACUGCGUUCUGGUGCAUCAUUUCGGACGCAUGUGUGUAGAAGCCACAAUGCAAAGAGUGCUUUAGAGCACACGCAGGCACCAAACCUAAGCCCUGAACUGGAAGACCAAAUGGUUUUAGGUAAUCAAGUAAUGGAUCUUUCAGAUGAAAGUUCAAAGGAUGGUUCUUGUGGGGAAACCAGUGCACAUAGUUCUGAACAUGACCUUUACACAGAGAAUUUUGCUUUGUUACUUCUCAAACUUGAGUGCAAGCACCAUGUGCCAGCUAGAACUGUGCAAUAUAUAGCAGAAGGCAUAAAAAAUCUUCAUAGGUUGAGCCAGGUUGUAUCACUGAAAGAGGUAGCCGCAAUAGUUCCACAAGAGACGUUUGCUGCAGUGCAGUCUCAUCUUGCUAAUGACAACCUCAACACAGCAUCGCAAACACUGGCUUCAUGUUAUCAACGGUACAAGUACUACAAAAAUAAGUUUUGUUAUGU